GCGUAACACGUGGGCAAUCUGCCCUCCGAUGGGGAAUAACUCCGGGAAACCGAAGCUAAUUCCGCAUAACAUUCCCUGGACUCCGGUUCGGGGAUUCAAAGCAGCAAUGCGUCGGAGGAGGAGCCCGCGCCCGAUUAGCUAGUUGGUGAGGUAACGGCUCACCAAGGCUAUGAUCGGUAGCUGGUCUGAGAGGAUGGCCAGCCACACUGGAACUGAGACACGGUCCAGACUCCUACGGGAGGCAGCAGUGGGGAAUCUUGCGCAAUGGGCGAAAGCCUGACGCAGCGACGCCGCGUGGGGGAUGAAGCUUUUCGGAGUGUAAACCCCUUUCGACCGAGACGAAUGCCCGCAAGGGAGUGACGGUACCGGUAGAAGAAGCCCCGGCUAACUACGUGCCAGCAGCCGCGGUAAGACGUAGGGGGCCAGCGUUGUUCGGAAUUACUGGGUGUAAAGGGUUCGUAGGCGGUGUGGCAAGUCGGGAGUGAAAUUUCUGGGCUUAACUCAGAACCUGCUUCCGAAACUGCUGUGCUCGAGUGUGGGAGAGGCGCGUGGAAUUGCAGGUGUAGCGGUGAAAUGC
rnacentral:rRNA from 1 species